rnacentral:rRNA from 1 species
AACGAACGCUGGCGGCAUGCCUAACACAUGCAAGUCGAACGAGACCUUCGGGUCUAGUGGCGCACGGGUGCGUAACGCGUGGGAACCUGCCCUUAGGUUCGGAAUAACUCCCCGAAAGGGGUGCUAAUACCGGAUAAUGUCUUCGGACCAAAGAUUUAUCGCCUUUGGAUGGGCCCGCGUUGGAUUAGCUAGUUGGUAGGGUAAAAGCCUCUCAAGGGGUCGAUACAUAGCUGGUUUGAGAGGAAGAUCAGCCACACUGGGACUGAGACACGGCCCAGACUCCUACGGGAUGCAGCAGUGGCUAAUAUAGCACAAUGGGCUAAAUCCUGAUCCAGCAAUGCCUCUUGAGUGAUGAAGGCCUUAGGGUUGUACAGCUCUUUUACCCGUGAUGAUAAUGACAGUACCGAGAGAAUAAGCACCGGCUAACUCCGUG